rnacentral:rRNA from 1 species
GACGAACGCUGGCGGCGUGCUUAACACAUGCAAGUCGAACGGGCCUGUCUUCUUUUUUGGGGGGUGGGUUGAGUGGCGAACGGGUGAGUAUCACGUGAGUAACCUGCCCUUCGGUCCUGGAUAACCGCUUGAAAGGGCGGCUAAUACGGGGUGGUCCGGUUGGUCCGCAUGGGCUGGUCGGGAUAGAUUCACUGUUUUUGGUGUUUCGGCGGGGGAUGGGCUCGCGGCCUAUCAGCUUGUUGGUGGGGUGAUGGCCUACCAAGGCGGUGACGGGUAGCCGGCCUGAGAGGGGGGGCGGCCACACUGGGACUGAGAUACGGCCCAGACUCCUGCGGGAGGCAGCAGUGGGGGGUAUUGCACAAUGGGCGGAAGCCUGAUGCAGCGACGUCGCGUGAGGGAUGGAGGCCUUCGGGUUGUGAACCUCUGUUUCCGGUGGUGAAGGCCCUGUCCGUGUGGUGGGGUUGACGGUAGCCGGGGAUGAAGCGCCGGCUAACUACGUG